rfam:Haemonchus contortus, ISE/inbred ISE, WGS project CAVP01000000 data, contig: Hcontortus_contig_pathogens_Hcontortus_scaffold_4733
GGCCCAAAUAUGGAGUAUGGUAGAUUAGUAAGGUCUGCUGAUCCUACUAUUCUACUGUACUACAAAAUUGAGCCC